AUUGAACGCUGGCGGCAGGCCUAACACAUGCAAGUCGAGCGGCAGCGGGAAAGUAGCUUGCUACUUUUGCCGGCGAGCGGCGGACGGGUGAGUAAUGCCUGGGGAUCUGCCCAGUCGAGGGGGAUAACUACUGGAAACGGUAGCUAAUACCGCAUACGCCCUACGGGGGAAAGCAGGGGACCUUCGGGCCUUGCGCGAUUGGAUGAACCCAGGUGGGAUUAGCUAGUUGGUGAGGUAAUGGCUAACCAAGGCGACGAUCCUUAGCUGGUCUGAGAGGAUGAUCAGCCACACUGGAACUGAGACACGGUCCAGACUCCUACGGGAGGCAGCAGUGGGGAAUAUUGCACAAUGGGGGAAACCCUGAUGCAGCCAUGCCGCGUGUGUGAAGAAGGCCUUCGGGUUGUAAAGCACUUUCAGCGAGGACGAAAGGUUGGUAGCUAAUAACUGCCAGCUGUGACGUUACUCGCAGAAGAAGCACCGGCUAACUCCGUGCCAGCAGCCGCCGUAAUAC
rnacentral:rRNA from 1 species